GUGAAUAUCGAAUUUUUGAACGCAAAUUGCGCCUUUUUCGGAAGGCAUGUCUGUUUGAGGGCACCAUUUAACAAAUAAUGUGCACCGUUUUGUGUGUGCACACGUUGAUGAGCUUUCCAGGAAAAAUUUUUUUUUUUUUUUUUUUUUGGUGGGGCAUAAUUAACAGCGGUAAAGCUUUUUUUUUAGUUUGAGGGUAGUAAAAUCUUUGCUUGGGUUGUGAAAAGCAAGUAGGCCACGGGGUGGGGGAGUUUUCCCU
rnacentral:misc_RNA from 1 species